UGUAGCUCAGUUGGUAGAGCAUGGUGCUUGCUAUGCCAGGAGUGUGGGUUUGAUUCCCAACCA
rnacentral:tRNA from 1 species